CAGCCAAGCCCGUGGGGUGCGGGGCUGGGAGGACUCCUCGCUGGCCCCGUGGGGGCCGGUAAGGGUCAGGCCCCGGUCCAGGCUCUGUGGCAAUGCAACAUUAGAUCUUUCCGACAACCGAACAGUGUAGACAUUGCCACUAACUGCAAAGGAGCAUGUCAGGGAAGUGACUCGCCAAAGGUCACACCGCUCUGCCAUCGGAACUGCGGCAGGAGCCCACAAACAAAGCGCCCUCCCUCCUUUCCUGGAGAGGUUUUAAACCCAGGACCCCCAGCCCUACGCUGUCCCAAAGCCUCUCCGACGGCGGCCGGGCUCCAGGGUGCAGGCACCCCGGUCAUCUACCUCCGGAGCGGCGGACACCGAGGCAGCGCGAGUCCCCCAGACGCCGGGCCACGCUCAUGUCACCCAAGCAGCGGCCGGCCGCCUUGGCGCGCACACAGGGUCCAGAGCCCCGGCUGCCCGUCGAGGGCAGAGGGGCCGGUCCUCCGCGGGGGGAGAGCUGGGUGGGCGGUCAGGACCCAGCGGCGGACGGCGCGCGACGCCCAAGACAGCCCAGCCUUCCCCGGAGCCCGGCAGGUGUCCGCGCCGCCCCAGCUUCUGAGGCCACACUUCCGAGCGCAGGGUUGGGCGGCACUGCCUGGGUACUUGCGGUCGGCGCGCCGGACCUGCGUGGGCGCCCACGAGGGACCCCGAGUCCCCCCAGCCGAGUGUCCCGCGCACGCCCUCCCGGGUGACCCCCCCCCCCCGGCAGGGCGCCCCGGCCGCCUGCAGUCCCCAAGCGGUCCCGGAGCCUUCCCACGCGCGGCCCGGCGCCGGGGCCGGGCGGACAGGACUGCGGAGGCUGCCCCCUCGCGCGCGCCAGAGGCCGCCGGGAAAGUUUUCGGCGCGCGGGGCCGGCCACCAGCCAAGUUAAGAAUUAGCCGUGCGCCGCAAUACAUAGUCUGCCUUCAACCAGGCCAUAGCCUGCCAGUGGUUGGUGUAGACGGGGCGCGGCGGAGGCGCCAGAAGAGCGGCAGGCAGCAUAAACGGCGGCAGCGCCAGGGCGGCGCGAGCGGCCCGGAGCCACAGGGGCCACCGGCACCCCGUUCCCGCGCCCGCUGGCUGCUUGUCGGUGGCAACGGCGGCAGGGCUGACAGCCGGGGCCGACAGGCAGCGGGGCAUAGCGGCGGCAGGCUCGCGCGGCAUCCCGAAGGCUGCGAGUGCGCCGGGGGGUGGAGUGCCGCCUUUUAA
rnacentral:lncRNA from 1 species